rnacentral:tRNA from 1 species
AGCUCCGAAGUGUUUCCACAUGUCAGACUGCAAAUCUGAAGUAGCAGACUAACAGUCUACCGGGGCUU